rnacentral:tRNA from 1 species
UGCGGCCAUGGCGGAAUUGGCAGACGCGCAGGAUUAAGGAUCCUGUCGAGAAUUAUCUCGGUGGAAGUUCGAAUCUUCUUGGCCGCAUC